GACGGUUUAGGCCUCCGCGUCGUGCGUUAAUUUCUCAUAACGCACACUUCGUCGGGUAUUAUCCCUUACAUAGUGUGCUUAGAUUAACGGUUCAAACUGAAUGGAGUAAGAACAGGUGUCAGAGUUGAGAAGUGUGACAGCUGUGGGGAAGGAAGUGUUUCUGAACCUUGCGGUCUCAGUUCUGAGGACUGGUGGUUCUUCCUCAGACUCCUCAGGAAGAAGAGGCGUUGGUGGGCCUUCUUGACCAGUUUGGAACAGUCCAGGUGGCCUCAUCACUGUCUCUGAUGACACCAUGGUGUCAUCUGCAAACUCAUUGAUGGUGUUGGAAUCAUUUACAGGUUUGCAGUCGUGAGUAGAGGAAAGGACUCAUCACACAGCCUUGUGGUACUCCAGUGUUU